CCUAACACAUGCAAGUCGAACGGUAACAGGAAACAGCUUGCUGUUUCGCUGACGAGUGGCGGACGGGUGAGUAAUGUCUGGGAAACUGCCUGAUGGAGGGGGAUAACUACUGGAAACGGUAGCUAAUACCGCAUAACGUCGCAAGACCAAAGAGGGGGACCUUCGGGCCUCUUGCCAUCAGAUGUGCCCAGAUGGGAUUAGCUAGUAGGUGGGGUAACGGCUCACCUAGGCGACGAUCCCUAGCUGGUCUGAGAGGAUGACCAGCCACACUGGAACUGAGACACGGUCCAGACUCCUACGGGAGGCAGCAGUGGGGAAUAUUGCACAAUGGGCGCAAGCCUGAUGCAGCCAUGCCGCGUGUAUGAAGAAGGCCUUCGGGUUGUAAAGUACUUUCAGCGGGGAGGAAGGGAGUAAAGUUAAUACCUUUGCUCAUUGACGUUACCCGCAGAAGAAGCACCGGCUAACUCCGUGCCAGCAGCCGCGGUAAUACGGAGGGUGCAAGCGUUAAUCGGAAUUACUGGGCGUAAAG
rnacentral:rRNA from 1 species